rnacentral:tRNA from 1 species
GCGCCUGUAGCUCAACGGAUAGAGCACUUCGCUUCGGACGAAGGGGUUGGGGGUUCGAUUCCCUUCAGGCGCGCCC